GACGAACGCUGGCGGCGUGCCUAACACAUGCAAGUCGAGCGGAGUCAGUAAGAGGAAGUUUUCGGAUGGAAUCUUAUUGAUUUAGCGGCGGACGGGUGAGUAACGCGUGAGCGACCAACCUUGCACAGGGGGAUAACGGACCGAAAGGUUCACUAAUACCGCAUGAGACCACGGUGUUGCAUGACACAGUGGUCAAAGGAGCAAUCCGGUGCAAGACGGGCUCGCGUCCGAUUAGGUAGUUGGAGGGGUAACGGCCCACCAAGCCUAUGAUCGGUAGCCGACCUGAGAGGGUGAUCGGCCACAUUGGAACUGAGAUACGGUCCAAACUCCUACGGGAGGCAGCAGUGGGGAAUAUUGGGCAAUGGGGGAAACCCUGACCCAGCAACGCCGCGUGAAGGAAGAAGGUUUUCGGAUUGUAAACUUCUGUCCUUGGUGAAGAGAAGAAGACGGUAGCCGAAGGAGGAAGCCCCGGACUAACUACGUG
rnacentral:rRNA from 1 species